UGCCAGCAGCCGCGGUAAUACGGAGGGUGCGAGCGUUAAUCGGAAUUACUGGGCGUAAAGCGCAUGCAGGUGGUUCAUUAAGUCAGAUGUGAAAGCCCGGGGCUCAACCUCGGAACUGCAUUUGAAACUGGUGAACUAGAGUGCUGUAGAGGGGGGUAGAAUUUCAGGUGUAGCGGUGAAAUGCGUAGAGAUCUGAAGGAAUACCAGUGGCGAAGGCGGCCCCCUGGACAGACACUGACACUCAGAUGAGAAGUCGUGGAUAGCAUUCAGGAUUAGAUC
rnacentral:rRNA from 1 species